AAUGGUAACAUACAGUUCAUCGACGUCAAUAGCACCAGCAGCUGGUCCAAGCUCUUCUUCUAAUACCCAUGUCUAUAGAGAUUGAAAAGGAAGAAGAGGAAGGCAUAAUUUUUUCGCUGAACUAAGUGGGGAGUGCUUAACAUUUGUAUAUUUACUUAACGUUUGCAUAUUGUUUAGGAUACGUGCAUAAUAUUGUGCUAAGCGGAUUUCUAGCGGAUUCUAUAGGUUAAUCUAGCCAAUUUUCACCAACCACGUUUGGCAUCACUCGACUCUUGUUGUUAUUAUCUGCUAGUAGCCUGGUAUUGCUACCGUGAACACAAAGUUACACAAGGUGGGCUGGAGCUCCCCGAGGUUACUCCACCUACGGAACAUCCGCCAGCCUCUACUUACCUCAUCACCGCUUAUAUCCUCCAAAUUCUCCUAACCAUCAUAAAAGGUGGAGAUACAGCUGACUUCACCUUUCACCAAUAUUGAAGAAAUAAAUCUUGGUAUCAUGAAUGAUGGGUAAUUUUUCCGGUUCCUGGGAAGAUUUUGGAAUUUGCUACCUCACCUAACCUUGGAAUUGGUUCUCGGACUUAGAACAGAAAAAUUUGGAGACUCCGUAAAAUCCCCAAAUUACUCAGACCAGAAAAAAUGCAGUUUCUGGAAUUUUCAGAAAAUAUGCAUUUGGAGAAAUCAUAACAUAUGCCUUAAUUAAUUUU